GAAUGUGAGGAUAAUCCAUUGGCAACACGUCAUUUCCUUGAUCAACAUGAUUGAUGAGGCUUAUUUGACUGGCUAGGAAUGUUUCUCUUUCCUCCCUUACAGUUCCAUGUGCAUCCCUUCCAAAGCCACAUGCUCAAUCAAAGAAGAUGGAUGAUCUUCCCAGAUAGAAUAGGGCUGUUCUUUUGUCAAGGAUAUGGAAAGGUUGUGUUUCCACACCAGAACCUUUAUUCCAGUGGUUCUCAAACUUCAGCCUGCAUCAGAAUCAUCAGGCCGGGGGUGGAAAAUAUUAAUAUACACAUUGCUGGGCUCCCACUCUGAGUUUCAUUCAGUCCUGGGAGGGGCCAGAUAAU
ensembl:misc_RNA 7SK 7SK RNA